rnacentral:rRNA from 1 species
UAUUGGACAAUGGGCGAAAGCCUGAUCCAGCCAUGCCGCGUGUGUGAAGAAGGUCUUCGGAUUGUAAAGCACUUUAAGUUGGGAGGAAGGGCAUUAACCUAAUACGUUAGUGUCUUGACGUUACCGACAGAAUAAGCACCGGCUAACUUUGUGCCAGCAGCCGCGGUAAUACAGAGGGUGCAAGCGUCAAUCGGAAUUACUGGGCGUAAAGCGAGCGUAGGUGGUUUGUUAAGUUGAAUGUGAAAUCCCAGGGCUCAACCUGGGAACUGCAACCAAAACUGGCAAGCUAGAGUAUGGUAGAGGGUAGUGGAAUUUCCUGUGUAGCGGUGAAAUGCGUAGAUAUAGGAAGGAACACCAGUGGCGAAGGCGACUACCUGGACUGAUACUGACACUGAGGUGCGAAAGCGUGGGGAGCAAACAGG